rnacentral:rRNA from 1 species
UACGAAGGGGGCUAGCGUUGUUCGGAAUUACUGGGCGUAAAGCGCGCGCAGGCGGUUUGAUAAGUUGGGGGUGAAAUCCCUGGGCUCAACCCAGGAAUGGCCUUCAAGACUGUUGAGCUAGAGGACGAGAGAGGUGAGUGGAAUUCCCAGUGUAGAGGUGAAAUUCGUAGAUAUUCGCAAGAACACCAGUGGCGAAGGCGGCUCACUGGCCCGAUACUGACGCUGAGGCACGAAAGCGUGGGGAGCAAACAGG